rnacentral:ribozyme from 1 species
GAGUAAAACCAAAGGGAAUUGAUAUCGAAAUCAACUCAAGAGGAACAUUAUCGUCAAUCUUAACUUUCUCCUUUUCCUCUUCUUUUUUAUUAUUUUUCUCAUUCUCUCGUCCA